rnacentral:rRNA from 1 species
GAUGAACGCUAGCGGCAGGCUUAAUACAUGCAAGUCGAGGGGUAGCAAGAUUGUAGCAAUACAAUUGUUGACGACCGGCAAACGGGUGCGGAACACGUACACAACCUUCCUACAAGUGGGGAAUAGCCCAGAGAAAUUUGGAUUAAUACCCCGUAACAUAGCGAUGUGGCAUCACAUUGCUAUUAUAGCUUCGGCGCUUGUUGAUGGGUGUGCGGCUGAUUAGAUAGUUGGCGGGGUAACGGCCCACCAAGUCUACGAUCAGUAGCUGAUGUGAGAGCAUGAUCAGCCACACGGGAACUGAGACACGGGCCGACUCCUACGGGAGGCAGCAGUAAGGAAUAUUGGACAAUGGACGCAAGUCUGAUCCAGCCAUGCCGCGUGAAGGAUUAAGGUCCUCUGGAUUGUAAACUUCUUCUAUAAGGGACGAAAAAAGGUCUUUCUAGAUCGUCUGACGGUACCUUAUGAAUAAGCACCGGCUAACUCCGUGCCAGCCGCCGCAGUAAUAC